AUUGAACGCUGGCGGCAGGCCUAACACAUGCAAGUCGAGCGGAUGAAGGGAGCUUGCUCCUGGAUUCAGCGGCGGACGGGUGAGUAAUGCCUAGGAAUCUGCCUGGUAGUGGGGGAUAACGUCCGGAAACGGGCGCUAAUACCGCAUACGUCCUGAGGGAGAAAGUGGGGGAUCUUCGGACCUCACGCUAUCAGAUGAGCCUAGGUCGGAUUAGCUAGUUGGUGGGGUAAAGGCCUACCAAGGCGACGAUCCGUAACUGGUCUGAGAGGAUGAUCAGUCACACUGGAACUGAGACACGGUCCAGACUCCUACGGGAGGCAGCAGUGGGGAAUAUUGGACAAUGGGCGAAAGCCUGAUCCAGCCAUGCCGCGUGUGUGAAGAAGGUCUUCGGAUUGUAAAGCACUUUAAGUUGGGAGGAAGGGCAGUAAGUUAAUACCUUGCUGUUUUGACGGUACCAACAGAAUAAGCACCGGCUAACUUC
rnacentral:rRNA from 1 species